rnacentral:rRNA from 1 species
UACGUAGGUCCCGAGCGUUGUCCGGAAUUACUGGGUGUAAAGGGUGCGCAGGCGGUCUUGUGCGUCAGAAGUGAAAUAUCACGGCUUAACCGUGAGGGUGCUUUUGAAACGGCGAGACUUGAGUACGGGAGAGGAUGACGGAAUUCCCGGUGUAGAGGUGAAAUUCGUAGAUAUCGGGAGGAACACCAGUGGCGAAGGCGGUCGUCUGGGCAGAUACUGACGCUGAGGUGCGAAAGCGUGGGGAGCAAGCAGG